rnacentral:rRNA from 1 species
UACAGAGGUCUCAAGCGUUGUUCGGAUUCAUUGGGCGUAAAGGGUGCGUAGGCGGCGCGGUAAGUCGGGGUGUGAAAUCUCGGGGCUUAACUCCGAAACUGCAUUCGAUACUGCCGUGCUUGAGGACUGGAGAGGAGACUGGAAUUUACGGUGUAGCGGUGAAAUGCGUAGAUAUCGUAAGGAAGACCAGUGGCGAAGGCGGGUCUCUGGACAGUUCCUGACGCUGAGGCA